AUCAUUCACUUGGGCACUCUAAGGAAACUAGCCGGUGAUAAGCCGGAGGAANGUGGGGAUGACGUCAAUUCCUCAUGGCCCUUACGCGCUGGGCUACACANGUGCUACAAUGGCAACUACAGUGGGCAGCAACCUCGCGAGGGGUAGCUAAUCUCCAAAAGUUGUCUCAGUUCGGAUUGUUCUCUGCAACUCGAGAUCAUGAAGGCGGAAUCGCUAGUNAUCGCNGAUCAGCAUGCCGCGGUGAAUACGUUCCCAGGCCUUGUACACACCGCCCGUCACACCAUGGGAGUUGGUUUCACCCGAANGCAGUGCUCUAACCCGCAAGGGAGGAAGCUGACCACGGUGGGAUCAGCGACUGGGGUGAAGUC
rnacentral:rRNA from 1 species